UACGUAGGGGGCGAGCGUUGUCCGGAAUUACUGGGCGUAAAGGGUACGCAGGCGGUUUCAUAAGUCAGGUGUAAAAGGCAUUGGCUCAACCAAUGUAAGCAUUUGAGACUGUGAGGCUUGAGUAUAGGAGAGGUGAGUGGAAUUCCUAGUGUAGCGGUGAAAUGCGUAGAUAUUAGGAGGAACACCAGUGGCGAAGGCGACUUACUGGACUAUAACUGACGCUGAGGUACGAAAGCUAGGGGCACGAACC
rnacentral:rRNA from 1 species